rnacentral:rRNA from 1 species
UACGGGGGGGGCAAGCGUUGUUCGGAAUUACUGGGCGUAAAGGGCCAGUAGGCGGCCAACUAAGUCGGAUGUGAAAUCCCCAGGCUCAACUUGGGAACUGCAUCCGAUACUGGAUGGCUUGAAUUCGGGAGAGGGAUGCAGAAUUCCAGGUGUAGCGGUGAAAUGCGUUGAUAUCCACAGGAACUCCGGUGGCGAAGGCGGCGUGCUGGACCCGAUCUGACGCUGAGGCGCGAAAGCGUGGGGAGCAAACAGG